UAGCAUUCCUUCGCACCAUCUCCGCCCGCCAAUAGUCGUGAGGCACCACAAUCGUGACAACCCCAUGGCCGUAGGACAGGAGAGAYGGUCGUUCUUAUCGAGGGACCACGAGAUCAUGGAGGAAAAUUAAUCCCUCCGCUCGCACAGCAUUCCGCAUCCGAGAGCACGAGCGCUUUCCCAUGGGCCAAAGCAGCCAAAUCGGCAUGCCGGGUACACGAGAGCCGCUGCGUGGUUCAACCCACACCUCCGAUGAGGCACAGGAAGAAUAGUUUUUAGCAACAGAUCGAAUUCCGCUAUGUGGGUAUGCAGCACAGGAACCCAUUCCCGCCCGAGAGAGCAACAAGCACUCCAGACACAACUGAGUGGCCUCGAGGUAGACAGUUCGAUGCACGAGCAUGGAGCCUGCCAACCGCGACGACC
rnacentral:misc_RNA from 1 species